UACGUAGGGCGCAAGCGUUGUCCGGAAUUAUUGGGCGUAAAGAGCUCGUAGGCGGUCUGUCACGUCUGCCGUGAAAACCCGAGGCUUAACCUCGUGGCUUGCGGUGGAUACGGGCAGACUAGAGGUAGGUAGGGGAGAACGGAAUUCCCGGUGUAGCGGUGAAAUGCGCAGAUAUCGGGAGGAACACCAGUAGCGAAGGCGACACUCUGGGCCGGUACUGGACGCUGAGGAGCGAAAGCGUGGGGAGCGAACAGG
rnacentral:rRNA from 1 species